CUUUGUUCUAAGGAUAAGGGGCUUAGAGAAGAACCAAAAGGCCCUCCUCUACCUAGUUGGUGAAACAAGCUACAGGAAGUGCCAGCCUCUGCUUGGAGGAGAUGGUGAGAUUCUGCUUGCUCUCCCCUGAGCCCUCCCCAACUGAAAGGACGAUUUAAAAGGAGAAAUCAAACUGCUUCCUAUUGCCGAGGAACCUUUCUAGGGCGCUAGCCCCCCUCGGCCCCGGGCUAUAAUAAAUGGGCUUGAAUCUGGCACAGAGUGUGGCGCACGUCUAUUGUCCGAACUCACUCGUCCACAACAGCUGGAGGCCCCAGCGAGAUGGCCACCCGGAUGGACUGGCCUCGCUGUGAUCCCUUUCGUCUGUGGCAGCAAACUAUAGGGGAGGCGCCCCCUGAGAUGUUCCAGGGCCCCGUAGUGUCACUGCCAACACUGAAGGGACUGCAGAGACACCUGAGACACCCUCCAAAUUUUCUGAAGCCCAUCUGGUCUGGAGGGCAUCUCUGGUUCCGGCAGGAGGUCACCACCUCAGGAAGACGCAGUCCAGAGAUUCUCUUGCCUUUGAGGGAGGCCCCGCCUCCUGGAGGAGCAGGACCGGAACCCGC
rnacentral:lncRNA from 1 species